rnacentral:rRNA from 1 species
UACGAAGGGGGCUAGCGUUGUUCGGAAUCACUGGGCGUAAAGCGCACGUAGGCGGAUUGUUAAGUCGGGGGUGAAAUCCUGAGGCUCAACCUCAGAACUGCCUCCGAUACUGGCAAUCUCGAGUUCGGAAGAGGUUGGUGGAACAGCUAGUGUAGAGGUGAAAUUCGUAGAUAUUAGCUAGAACACCAGUGGCGAAGGCGGCCAACUGGUCCGACACUGACGCUGAGACGCGAAAGCGUGGGGAGCGAACAGG